AUUGAACGCUGGCGGCAGGCCUAACACAUGCAAGUCGAGCGGAAGAAGGGAGCUUGCUCCUGGAUUCAGCAGCGGACGGGUGAGUAAUGCCUAGGAAUCUGCCUGGUAGUGGGGGAUAACGUCCGGAAACGGGCGCUAAUACCGCAUACGUCCUGAGGGAGAAAGUGGGGGAUCUUCGGACCUCACGCUAUCAGAUGAGCCUAGGUCGGAUUAGCUAGUUGGUGGGGUAAAGGCCUACUAAGGCGACGAUCCGUAACUGGUCUGAGAGGAUGAUCAGUCACACUGGAACUGAGACACGGUCCAGACUCCUACGGGAGGCAGCAGUGGGGAAUAGUGGACAAUGGGCGAAAGCCUGAUCCAGCCAUGCCGCGUGUGUGAAGAAGGUCUUCGGAUUGUAAAGCACUUUAAGUUGGGAGGAAGGGCAGUAAGUUAAUACCUUGCUGUUUUGACGUUACCAACAGAAUAAGCACCGGCUAACUUCGUG
rnacentral:rRNA from 1 species